rnacentral:rRNA from 1 species
ACACAUGCAAGUCGAGCGCACCCUUUCGGGGCGAGCGGCGGACGGGUUAGUACCCCUUGGGAAUGUACCCUUCUCUAUGGAAUAGCCUCGGGAAACUGAGAGUAAUACCAUAUACGCCCUUCGGGGGAAAGAUUUAUCGGAGAAGGAUCAGCCCGCGUAAGAUUAGAUAGUUGGUGGGGUAAUGGCCUACCAAGUCUACGAUCUUUAGCUGGUUUUAGAGGAUGAUCAGCAACACUGGGACUGAGACACGGCCCAGACUCCUACGGGAGGCAGCAGUGGGGAAUCUUAGACAAUGGGCGCAAGCCUGAUCUAGCCAUGCCGCGUGUGUGAUGAAGGCCUUAGGGUCGUAAAGCACUUUCGCCAGGGAUGAUAAUGACAGUACCUGGUAAAGAAACCCCGGCUAACUCCGUGCCAGCAGCCGCGGUAAUACGGAGGGGGUUAGCGUUGUUCGGAAUUACUGGGCGUAAAGCGCACGUAGGCGGAUCAGAAAGUUGGGGGUGAAAUCCCAGGGC